AGAGCGAACGCUGGCGGCAGGCCUAACACAUGCAAGUCGAGCGCCCCGCAAGGGGGAGCGGCAGACGGGAGAGUAACACGUGGGAACGUACCCUUCAGUUCGGAACAACCCAGGGAAACUUGGGCUAAUACCGAAUACGUCCGUAAGGAGAAAGAUUUAUCGCUGAAGGAUCGGCCCGCGUCUGAUUAGCUAGUUGGUGAGGUAACGGCUCACCAAGGCGACGAUCAGUAGCUGGUCUGAGAGGAUGAUCAGCCUCACUGGGGCUGAGACACGGCCCAGACUCCUACGGGAGGCAGCAGUGGGGAAUAGUGGACAAGUGGGCGACAAGCCUGACUCCAGCCAUGCCGCGGUGGGUGAUGGAACGGCCCGUAGGGUUAGUUAAACGCCCGUUUCGGGCGGGGAAGAGUAAGUGGGCGGUACCCGCGAAGAAGAACGCCCCGGCUAACGUCGCGCCAAGCACGCCGA
rnacentral:rRNA from 1 species